rnacentral:misc_RNA from 1 species
UCUCCGUAGGUGAACCUGCGGAGGGAUCAUUACCGAGUACCGGGCGCAAGCCCGUACCCACACCCUGUGUCGACGCUCCACGUUGCUUCGGCGGGACGCGGUUCCGCCGCCCCCGGCUCCGACCGGGGCGCGCCCGCCGAAGAACCCCCCAAACGCAUGGCAAACCAGUCUGUCCGAGGAUACAUGAAUUAGUCAAAACUUUUAACAACGGAUCUCUUGGUUCGG